CACUAAAAAGAAAUUGGUAAUCCCUUUUCUCUCCCCCUACUGCUUUUUAUUCUCCUAAUUUAUCCUUUUCCCUUUUCCAUUUGAGAGUUCCAUCUAAUUGUCCUUUUUUGCUCCCAUUGUUCCAGUUAUGCAACUUUGUUAAUAUUUUAGCUUUAUAAAGCACUGAAGGAGGUUAGAUGUUGUCGAUAAUUGUUUUGUUAAUAUUUUAGCUUUCUAAUACAACUUUGUUGUUCAAGUUUGUCUAACUGAUUUGAUUAAUACAUGCACUUAUUGGCUAAUUCAGUACUUGAAGCGUCCUUUCCAGGUUUUAACAAACGCUCUCUACGAUCAAGUCUGGGUUUUCUCCUUCAACAAUUGUGACCAAAGGUAAUCUUACUCAUUUGUGCUUUCUGAUUUUAACUGCUCUUCUUAAAUUUGUGAUUAACUUAUUUGGUGAUACACUUUACUUAUUUGUUGUUACCGUGUUGAAUAAUUCACUAUUCUCUCUUCUAUUAUGAUUAUUUAUAGCUUUGUAACAGAGAUGUGGAGGAGUGUAGAAUAAGGGCCUAAAAGGUCACUCUAGAAACUUUCAAUGGUUCAUUUAUCUUGAGGUAUUAUAUUCUUCUACUCUAUUUCCUUGGUGUAGGUGAAAAGUUGCCUCCAUAAGAUUUAUAUGCACAACUAGCAACUCUUCAAUAAGGGAAUUCUUCAAAUAUACACCACCCAAAGGAUUUUAUCGGUGGAAUUUUUAUGAUAAUGUCUAAUUCCAGAGUCAUCAAGAUUUCUCUUUUCUUAUCUUUUUCCGUUGUUAUGUUUUUCCCUGUUGAUGCUAUAAAGAGUGAAAGUUUUAGAUCCAUCAACAGAGUCUACUAUAAUAUUGAACAUUAUAAAUAUUGGCAGGCCAGAAGGGCAUUACUCAAUAGCUAAAUUUUAAGAGAAGGAGCAUGAGUUGCAAGGAAUUGUUCAAGAAGUUCUUUAAAAGUCUUUAAGAUGGUCCCAUGUCUAUAUCUUUUUGAGUUGGCUAAGAUUUUAUUUCUGAUGUUAUGUUCCUUGUCCCUAUAAAUAUUAAAUACCCGUACUCGAUGUUAUUCAAAAGGUCGAAAAAGAUCAAUAUAUACAUAUAAACGUGUUACAAUAUGUUUUAAAUAUUAAUUGUCUUUCUUUACUUUCGUGUUGGGGCACAAUUUUAUAUGUAACCCUUUAAUUAUGACUUGAUUUUCAACUUAUUGAGUUUAUUUCAUUUAACUUUCAAAUUGUCCUAACACGUAAAACUAUCUCUAAAUAUUAGCGCAUCAAAACUUAUAUAAAACUUCUUGUGAAAAGGGGAGGAUAAAGUGGGCAUUUGCAAUAUUCCAGCGGCUUAUGUGCAGUAUGUUGCCCUCUUAAAUUAAGUUGAAUUAUCCUAAACUAUCACUUCAAUCAGAAUUUGAUUUCCUUAAAUGGUGAAAAAUGUCUCAUACUAAUUGUUGUAUAGGGGUUAAAACGGUAAGAUGGCUUUGCGACUACUUAUAACACCAGUUAAGAAUGUCGGUGAAAGUUGAUGCCCCUGGUAUUAAUUUGCAUAGCAAUUCAUGGCCUUUGAAUGUUGACUUUGCUAGAGUGUGUUACAUUUUUGUUUGGAAUUUUUUUCAUUGUAGCUCUUCAAUGAAAAGCAUCAGAGUUGCCAGGAACAAGUAGCUGCUAAAGAUUUCAGCCCCAAAAAUCUGUGUUGGUAAUCCCAUUCUAUCAAAUUUAAUUUUCUAUACACAAAUGGGCUACUUGGAAUCCCUUUCUAACUCUCUUCUUGCUUCAGAAUUUUAUAUGGAAAAAAGGCGAACACAUAGAUUGCAGAUUUGCAGAGAUAUUCUAUAUGCCCUUCAAUUUUUUUUCUUUUCCAGAUAAAUUACUACUGCUCAUGUUGCCAAAAUAAAAGAACGAACUUUGGAGAUGAAAGGACAAAAUAAUCAAUGACUCUGAAGGCAAAGAACAGGAGAGAAAAAUAUGUUCCAUUUGUUGAAAUGAUGACAAGCAAGUUACAGAGUUAAUAGGGUCAGAAGAAGAGAAUUGUAAAGCGAUAAGAAGAUAUAUAUACUUGUAGUGAAGAAGUUGUUUGAAAUUAUGAUCCAUAGACACAAAGAUAGAGAUUGACUUGAUCAUGUUUCAACAUCAGAAAGCCUGUGCUUUUUCCAUCCAAUCCGAGGAGUGAUCCAAUGCGACAGAUUAUGUUAUGAUCAAAUUUGUAAGAUCAUAUGUUGUGUUUGGUAUGCAAAUUUAAUGUUUAUGGGUUGUAACUUUUUGGGAUUUUGAUCUUCUUAGCUUUUGAUUCGCCUAUUCACGCAGGAAGAUGUUUGAGGCUAACAAACACAUGGUUUGUUCUUAUUCCCUUUUAUUUUCCCUUUUCUUUGUAUUUUCAGCAUCUUAGCCCUAUUUUGUACCAUACCAACUUCUUAGGAAGAAAGAAAAUCUUUUUUUUUCCUGUAUAUCUAUGGCUUUUAUGUUUA
rnacentral:lncRNA from 1 species